AGUUUGAUCAUGGCUCAGGAUGAACGCUGGCGGCGUGCCUAAUACAUGCAAGUCGAGCGAACCACUUCGGUGGUGAGCGGCGAACGGGUGAGUACACGUAGGUGAUCUGCCCAUCAGACGGGGACAACGAUUGGAAACGAUCGCUAAUACCGGAUAGGACGAAAGUUUAAAGGUGCUUCUGGCACCGCUGAUGGAUGAGCCUGCGGCGCAUUAGCUAGUUGGUAGGGUAAAGGCCUACCAAGGCGACGAUGCGUAGCCGACCUGAGAGGGUGAACGGCCACACUGGGACUGAGACACGGCCCAGACUCCUACGGGAGGCAGCAGUAGGGAAUCUUCGGCAAUGGGCGAAAGCCUGACCGAGCAACGCCGCGUGAAUGAUGAAGGCCUUCGGGUUGUAAAAUUCUGUUAUAAGGGAAGAACGACUUUAGUAGGAAAUGGCUAGAGUGUGACGGUACCUUAUGAGAAAGCCACGGCUAACUACGUG
rnacentral:rRNA from 1 species